rnacentral:rRNA from 1 species
UACGUAGGGGGCAAGCGUUGUCCGGAAUCAUUGGGCGUAAAGCGCGUGUAGGCGGCCAUGUAAGUCCGUUCUGAAAGCCCGGGGCUCAACCCCGGGAGGCGGAUGGAUACUGCAUGGCUCGAGUACGGAAGAGGCGAGUGGAAUUCCCGGUGUGGCGGUGAAAUGCGUAGAUAUCGAGAGGAACACCUGCGGCGAAGGCGGGUUGCUGGGCCGACACUGACGCUGAUGCGCGAAAGCCAGGGGAGCAAACGGGG